GACGAACGCUGGCGGCGUGCUUAACACAUGCAAGUCGAGCGGUAAGGCCCUUCGGGUACACGAGCGGCGAACGGGUGAGUAACACGUGGGUGACCUGCCUCUAGCUCUGGGAUAAGCCUGGGAAACUGGGUCUAAUACCGGAUAUGACUCCACGGCGCAUGUUGUGGGGUGGAAAGCCUUGUGUGGCUAGAGAUGGGCCCGCGGCCUAUCAGCUUGUUGGUGGGGGAUGGCCUACCAAGGCGACGACGGUAGCCGGCCUGAGAGGGCGACCGGCCACACUGGGACUGAGACACGGCCCAGACUCCUACGGGAGGCAGCAGUGGGGAAUCUUGCGCAAUGGGCGAAAGCCUGACGCAGCGACGCCGCGUGAGGGAUGACGGCCU
rnacentral:rRNA from 1 species